UUGCAGUUUAUAACACUUCCGCAUGGGCUUCAUAGUUUGAGGCCGGAGGUUGCCACUUGGAUCGGACAUCCAUUUAUUUAUUUUUUACAGUCUAUGGCACGGACAAGGAGAGAGAACACAGCAAGUAGUAAUUCUGUGUACAUGUGGAUGUUUGUGUGGUACAAAGAAAGACUUGAAAAAAACGUGAAUCUAUACUCUUUAAUGUUUUGUAUUUGGAGAUCGCCUCAAAGAAGAUAAUUUGACUCCACUUAUGAACACACCUUUCUGCAAAAAGCUCCUCAUGCUUCAUGUUUUCCAUGCUGUAAGCAAUAUGCAUAAUCCUGAGAACAUUUCGUGUCGUCUUGGCGUUUUCUAUGCAGUAAACUCACAGUAUUGUAACUUCUUUGUCUUAAGUACAGCUCCAAGGCAGGUUGGCAGAUGCAGUCAUUUUUACAAUGAUGUCUGGUAAUAGGGUUCUUUGAAUAGGAAAUUCACCAGUAAUUUUUUUCAUUGUAUGUUUUGCUUUGUAGUUUUUGCUCGGUGGUCAAAAUCCUCCUCCCUGGAUCCCCUUGUUUCUAAUGAUGCCACACAUUCGGAGCCAAAUCACUCAAGACGAGUGUCAAUCAAUCUUUGAUAUGUUUGUCCUGUUUUUAUUUUUGGUCCCUAAGCCACUUCAGCAUUGUAUACUAGGUCAACAUGCAUUUGGGCUUUCCAUGGUGCAAGCAGUGCCACCUGUGACUUUACCUCCUGGUUAUCCUCACAGCAAAGACCAUCCUGUGCUACCAUGAGCCUAUUUCUGCUCUGAGCAGUGUGUGCUGCCACGUCUAACAGGAAAUUUACCACAAAGAUGUAUAAUGAAUCCUCUUCACAUCACUGAUAGUCUGUUGCUAUCUGUUCCGUUACAAUUGAAUACCCUUUUUUUCUGCUUGUACUUACCUUUAAAACCCCUGUUUUUUUCCAACGUGUGGAAGUGAAGUAAAUGGAAGCUCUUCUCUGCACUUUUUUUACAAGAUGAUGCCAAGAGUGUCUGCAACAGAGGGCAGUCCAUGAAGCCCACACACAGACAGCCAGACACGCACACAUCGGUUCUUUAACUGUUGCACAAGAUCAGUAGUUUUUUUUUUUUAUCCCUUGCAUUAAUGGAUUGUGUUUGGUGUCUUGUACUUUAUCCGGAGAGUCGGUUUGAAUAAAUGGAGACAGACAAGCUGCAUAAAUCAGAUAGCUUUCCAUUCAGAGUAAUGUAAUGGUUUGUUUUGUGACGUUGACAGUGGGGAUUUUUUUUAUUUUUUUUACUGUGUGAACUUCUUCCUGUUGUUUGAUCCAAAAGGUGAACUUAGGACGGUUUUUGGUGUUGCUGAUGUCAUACUAAAUCAGGAGAAAGAGAACGGUUAAGAGUUUUAAAGAUGUCUGCGUAUUUUCAGAUUUGACGUACUUUUUGGCACACUGCUUUUUAUGUGACGUGAAACACUUUUUAAAACAAAACAAAAAACAGCAUCUUUUUUUUUUUUUAAACAUGCCUAAAUCUGCAAAAUAUAUGCAAUGAUGUAAAUGUAACAUUCAAUCCUCAAGUAUAAUCCAGGUUGUAUGGACUUUGUAUAGUGAGUUUUAAUAUCGUAUGGCCGUACCAAUAUGUAUUGAUCUUUAUCAGAAGCCUUAGAGUUGUCGACCGAAAGUGCUCCCUUAGAAUACCCUACACCUACCUGACUUUAACAAAGCAUUAAUAUCUCUAUUUUGUUGCAUUCUUAUUUGUACCGUUUUUGGAUAAAAUAGAUUUGUACUGUAUAUUUGUACCUCUCUGUGAACUACUUAGGGCGGUUUUUGUUUUUUGUUUUGUUUCUCUUUUGUUUGUUUUGUUUUGCUGUUUUAAUUCUAUGUACUUUAAGGACACAAAGAUAUUGUAUUUUUAUUGUUACAGCUAACUUGGAGACAUUGCAUUUAUCAUGUUUGUUAAGUAAACACAAUAUAAUAUAUAAAUAUAUAUAUACAAAUAUAAAUAUAAACUAUUAUCCAA